AACGCACAUUGCGCCCCUUGGUAUUCCAUGGGGCAUGCCUGUUCGAGCGUCAUUUGUACCUUCAAGCUCUGCUUGGUGUUGGGCGUUUUGUCCCUGCCUCUGUGCGGACUCGCCUAGAAUUGAUUGGCAGCCGGCAAUCUGGUGUUGGAGCGCAGCACAAUUUGCGCUUUUGCCCACGAUUACCGGCGUCCAGUAAGCCUGCAUUUUAACGUUUGACCUCGGAUCAGGUAGGGAUACCCGCUGAACUUAA
rnacentral:misc_RNA from 1 species